rnacentral:rRNA from 1 species
UGGGGAAUAUUGGACAAUGGGCGAAAGCCUGAUCCAGCCAUGCCGCGUGUGUGAAGAAGGUCUUCGGAUUGUAAAGCACUUUAAGUUGGGAGGAAGGGCAGUAAGCUAAUACCUUGCUGUUUUGACGUUACCGACAGAAUAAGCACCGGCUAACUUCGUGCCAGCAGCCGCGGUAAUACGAAGGGUGCAAGCGUUAAUCGGAAUUACUGGGCGUAAAGCGCGCGUAGGUGGUUCGUUAAGUUGGAUGUGAAAGCCCCGGGCUCAACCUGGGAACUGCAUCCAAAACUGGCGAGCUAGAGUAUGGUAGAGGGUGGUGGAAUUUCCUGUGUAGCGGUGAAAUGCGUAGAUAUAGGAAGGAACACCAGUGGCGAAGGCGACCACCUGGACUGAUACUGACACUGGGUGCGAAAGCGUGGGGAGCAAAACAGGAUUAGAUACCCUGGUAGUCCACGCCGUAAACGAUGUCAACUAGCCGUUGGGUUCCUUGAGAACUUAGUGGCGCAGCUAACGCAUUAAGUUGACCGCCUGGGGAGUACGGCCGCAAGGUUAAAACUUAAAUGAAUUGA